AUGGAGGAAACCAAAUUCCUGGAAACUUCCACUUGCCCACUGUCCUUUUCCUCCCAGACCUUUGACCACCUCCCUGAGCUCCCUUGCCCCCUCAUAACUAGGAGUUUAAUCUUCAGAAACAGUCUUUUCCAGAACAUGGGCUGGUCUCCGUCUGGAAGAAAAAGUGACCCCAGCUUUGAUGACAGAGAUCAUCUCAAUCAACAUUGUUUAUGCCACGCUCCGCCACAGGGAGAAACGCAAUUUGACACACUAAACCUCAGUAUUCAACAAAAACGAUGGCUGGACCAGACCAAGAGCAAGGCAGCCGUGCAAGAAGGUACAGAGCCUCUGGAAGCCCCUGUCUGGAGUUUCAUUUCACCGUUUCCAGGACCUGCACUGAGGGAUGCGGCUGUCGCUGGAGAUUAGCAAGUACUCGGGCGCGGUGGCGUUGGUGAAGUCACUGGGAAGAGCCCUUGAGCGGUGUGCACUGCUCUUCGUCCUUAGACAAGUUAGCUGUGCCCAAGUGGAGCCGUGGAGCCUGCUGCGCCCUCAGGAGCGCUGCUUCCCUCCCCGCAGGAGCUCCGCCUGGGACAUGGGCCGCCUGCUAACGGGAGGCCACCUGUGACAGCCAGGCAGGCGCUCGAGGGACCCGGCUCGCCUCGCCCUGGCGCGCUUCCCUCGGUCGUGCUGGCUGGACACGCUGCCACCAGCGCACAUCCCCUCAGCCCGAGCCCAGAGCGACGAUGACAACGCAGAGCAGUCUGCCGCUGGGCGCCUCGGAGACGUCUGCUUGAUGAAACGCGGCGUGAGGGAGAGCCAACCAAGAGGCGUGCAGGUCGUCCGCUGCUGCGCUGUGCCUUAGCACACAGGAGGCGUUCGCCCGUUAUUGAAUGUUCAGUGCUGUAGUUCAUAUAUACUGUAAGAUUAAAUUAUUUACUCACUGUAAGUUUAAUGUCUGAGCAUCCACAUAUUACGUAAUUCUAGAGUAGAUGCAUAUUUAUGUGAUGUGUAGUCUGUAUGUAUAUGUAUGUAUGCAUGUGUAUGUAUCUAUAUAUCUUUGUGUAUAUAGCAGCGUAUAUAUAUAUGCUUAUAUGUGUGUAUGCACACACACAUAUGGGGGUGGGGUAUUGAAUAAACAGGGAACUAAAAUUCUAGGGUCAUUUGCCAUUAACUGUGAUUUUGAGCAAGUUUAAUUUUUCAGUGUCUCCCACCAAAAAAGCUUUAGCUUUUUCCUCUGCAG
rnacentral:lncRNA from 1 species